rnacentral:rRNA from 1 species
AGUGAACGCUGGCGGUAGGCCUAACACAUGCAAGUCGAACGGCAGCACAGUAAGAGCUUGCUCUUACGGGUGGCGAGUGGCGGACGGGUGAGGAAUACAUCGGAAUCUACUUUUUCGUGGGGGAUAACGUAGGGAAACUUACGCUAAUACCGCAUACGACCUACGGGUGAAAGCAGGGGAUCUUCGGACCUUGCGCGAAUGAAUGAGCCGAUGUCGGAUUAGCUAGUUGGCGGGGUAAAGGCCCACCAAGGCGACGAUCCGUAGCUGGUCUGAGAGGAUGAUCGGCCACCCGGGAACUGAGACAAGGUCCAGACUCCUACGGGAGGCAGCAGUGGGGAAUAUUGGACAAUGGGCGAAAGCCUGAUCCAGCCAUACCGCGUGGGUGAAGAAGGCCUUCGGGUUGUAAAGCCCUUUUGUUGGGAAAGAAAAGCAGCAGGUUAAUACCCCGCUGUUCUGACGGUACCCAAAGAAUAAGCACCGGCUAACCUCGUG